rnacentral:rRNA from 1 species
AUGCAACGCGAAGAACCUUACCUGGUCUUGACAUCCACAGAACUUUCCAGAGAUGGAUUGGUGCCUUCGGGAACUGUGAGACAGGUGCUGCAUGGCUGUCGUCAGCUCGUGUUGUGAAAUGUUGGGUUAAGUCCCGCAACGAGCGCAACCCUUAUCCUUUGUUGCCAGCGGUUCGGCCGGGAACUCAAAGGAGACUGCCAGUGAUAAACUGGAGGAAGGUGGGGAUGACGUCAAGUCAUCAUGGCCCUUACGACCAGGGCUACACACGUGCUACAAUGGCAUAUACAAAGAGAAGCGACCUCGCGAGAGCAAGCGGACCUCAUAAAGUAUGUCGUAGUCCGGAUUGGAGUCUGCAACUCGACUCCAUGAAGUCGGAAUCGCUAGUAAUCGUAGAUCAGAAUGCUACGGUGAAUACGUUCCCGGGCCUUGUACACACCGCCCGUCACACCAUGGGAGUGGGUUGCAAAAGAAGUAGGUAGCUUAACCUUCGGGAGGGCGCUUACCACUUUGUGAUUCAUGACUGGGGUGAAGUCGUAACAAGGUAACCGUAGGGGAACCUGCGGUUGGAUCACCUCCUUACCUUAAAGAA